UGACCUCAAAUCAGGUAGGACUACCCGCUGAACUUAAGCAUAUCAAUAAGCGGAGGAAAAGAAACUAACAAGGAUUCCCCUAGUAACUGCGAGUGAAGCGGGAAAAGCUCAAAUUUAAAAUCUGGC
rnacentral:rRNA from 1 species